rnacentral:lncRNA from 1 species
AACCAAGGGUCCCUGAGCCAUUUGGGCUUUCUCCAUAAGCCCUCUUCCUGAAAAUUGCCAAAGGAAGUCCCAGGAAGCCUGUCAGGAAAUCCCAUUUUCUCCAUGCCUGCUAGGGAACCCCUUACAAGCCACAGCACACCGACAAAGGGUGUAAACGGGUGCAUUGCUGAACCGCUUCCAGGUUGAAGAAGAGUCCUGGCGAGAAAGGGCUGCAAAUAGCUUGGGCAGAGUGGCGUUGACUAGGGUUGAGAGUGUCAACUGUGCUCUGCCUAACUGGGGCUGGGCUCUGGACACUCCAAAAGGGGAAAAAGAAGUUGAGCCGUCUCCAGGAGUAACCUCUGUGAGCCUAGACUGUUCUUGGAGAGGUCCUGCUCUGCUUACAUAGCAGCAGAGAGACUUGGGGAGCCGGGACCUGCUGUGCACCCAUGAGACAUCAUGACUACGCUUGCAGGUUCUGAGCCCACGGGACACUUUUGGAAGCGCAGGCAUCCUCGCGCGGCGAGUUCGGUGAGGGACCACCAGGAGGCGCGCUUGCGUUUCGGACGCUCUGAGGCGCCGCCGAUCGCGGUUUCCCUGCAAAAAUAUUCAGGUACAGUCUUCCUCCGAGUAGCGAAUCUUUGGAGAAAGAGACAAGAGGCUGUGUGCAUGAGCAAGCACCACCGUGGACCGUCCCAGUGGUAACCAGCAGAGUGCUUCUUCUAUCAACCGCCUUUAAGCACACAGAAAUCAAGGCAUGGCUGAGCUCGACUACCAUCCCACUCCUUGAGAGGUGGAGGCAAGAAAUCCAGAGUUGAAGAGCAGCUGGGGCUACAUGAGAUUGUUGGCUCAUCCCAGAAGUAUCCAGCAACUUUCUCUUGAGACAGAUUCUUACCAUAUGUAGCCCUGCCUGGCCUAGAACUCAAAGAUCCACCUGCUUCUGUCACCAAAUGCAGGGAUUAAAGGCAUCUAUAA